GUAUGAGGCAAGCGUUAUCCGGAUUUACUGGGUGUAAAGGGGGCGUAGGCGGCAUGGCAAGUCAGAAGUGAAAGCCUGGGGCUCAACCCCGGAAUUGUUUGAAACUGUCAGGCUAGAGUGUCGGAGGGGUAAGCGGAAUUCCUAGUGUAGCGGUGAAAUGCGUAGAUAUUAGGAGGAACACCGGUGGCGAAGGCGGCUUACUGGACGAUUACUGACGCUGAGGCUCGAAAGCGUGGGGAGCAAACAGGAUUAGAUACCCUGGUAGUCCACGCCGUAAACGUUGAAUACUAGGUGUCGGGGGACAAUAGUUCCUCGGUGCCGAAGCAAACGCAUUAAGUAUUCCACCUGGGGAGUACGUUCGCAAGAAUG
rnacentral:rRNA from 1 species